rnacentral:rRNA from 1 species
CCUUAUNCAUGCAAGUCGAGCGGACAGAUGGGAGCUUGCUCCCUGAUGUUAGCGGCGGACGGGUGAGUAACACGUGGGUAACCUGCCUGUAAGACUGGGAUAACUCCGGGAAACCGGGGCUAAUACCGGAUGGUUGUUUGAACCGCAUGGUUCAAACAUAAAAGGUGGCUUCGGCUACCACUUACAGAUGGACCCGCGGCGCAUUAGCUAGUUGGUGAGGUAACGGCUCACCAAGGCAACGAUGCGUAGCCGACCUGAGAGGGUGAUCGGCCACACUGGGACUGAGACACGGCCCAGACUCCUACGGGAGGCAGCAGUAGGGAAUCUUCCGCAAUGGACGAAAGUCUGACGGAGCAACGCCGCGUGAGUGAUGAAGGUUUUCGGAUCGUAAAGCUCUGUUGUUAGGGAAGAACAAGUACCGUUCGAAUAGGGCGGUACCUUGACGGUACCUAACCAGAAAGCCACGGCUAACUACGUGCCAGCAGCCGCGGUAAUACGUAGGUGGCAAGCGUUGUCCGGAAUUAUUGGGCGUAAAGGGCUCGCAGGCGGUUUCUUAAGUCUGAUGUGAAAGCCCCCGGCUCAACCGGGGAGGGUCAUUGGAAACUGGGGAACUUGAGUGCAGAAGAGGAGAGUGGAAUUCCACGUGUAGCGGUGAAAUGCGUAGAGAUGUGGAGGAACACCAGUGGCGAAGGCGACUCUCUGGUCUGUAACUGACGCUGAGGAGCG